UUUGUGACAUACCUCAACUGUUGCUUCGGCGGGUAGUCGUCCCCUGAAAAGGACGUCUCCCGGCCCCCUCCCGUCCGCGGGUGGGGCGCCCGCCGGAGGAUAACCAAACUCUGAUUUAACGACGUUUCUUCUGAGUGACACAAGCAAAUAAUCAAAACUUUUAACAACGGAUCUCUUGGUUCUGGCAUCGAUGAAGAACGCAGCGAAAUGCGAUAAGUAAUGUGAAUUGCAGAAUUCAGUGAAUCAUCGAAUCUUUGAACGCACAUUGCGCCCGCCAGCAUUCUGGCGGGCAUGCCUGUUCGAGCGUCAUUUCAACCCUCAAGCUCUGCUUGGUGUUGGGGCUCUACGGUUGACGUAGGCCCUCAAAGGUAGUGGCGGACCCUCCCGGAGCCUCCUUUGCGUAGUAACAUUUCGUCUCGCAUUGGGAUUCAGAGGGACUCUUGCCGUAAAACCCCCAAUUUAUCUAAGGUUGACCUCGGAUCAGGUAGGAAUACCCGCUGAACUUAAGCAUAUCAAUAA
rnacentral:rRNA from 1 species